UACGGAGGGUGCUAGCGUUGUUCGGAAUCAUUGGGCGUAAAGGGCGCGCAGGCGGCUCGGAAAGUCGGGUGUGAAAACUCGGGGCUCAACCCCGGGCGUGCAUCCGAUACUGCCGGGCUUGAGGCAGGUAGGGGAGAUCGGAAUUCCUGGUGUAGCGGUGAAAUGCGCAGAUAUCAGGAGGAACACCGGUGGCGAAGGCGGAUCUCUGGGCCUGUCCUGACGCUGAGGCGCGAAAGCUAGGGGAGCGAACAGG
rnacentral:rRNA from 1 species